CCCUCAGCAUCUUUAUAGCCUCCACUGGACUCUAUCCAGUAGUUCCCUGCCUCUCCAAUAUGUGGUGACUUGAGAGCAUGCACUGUUACCAGCUGCCUUCUGUGUUGACCAGAUGCAUCAUUAGAUCCAGUGACAAAUUUGGCCAGGUCAUCAUUUUGAGGUACUGGAGUGUAUCCAGAGGAGGGCAGUGGAGCUGGUGAAGGGGCUAGAGUACAAAUCCUAUGAGGAGCAACUGAGGGAACUGAGGCUAUUAAGCCUGGAGAAAAGGAGGCUGAGGGGAGACCUUCUGCCUCUUUACAAUUCCCUGAAAGAAGCUUGGAGCCAGUGCUGUACCUGCUCAGAAGCUUUUAAAUUCAGCUAGUGCACAGAGGAAAACAAAAACCUGGUGGAACUUCUCCUCG